rnacentral:rRNA from 1 species
UACGAAGGUCCCAAGCGUUAUCCGGAUUUAUUGGGCGUAAAGAGCGUGUAGGCGGCCUGGCAAGUCCGCUGUGAAAACUCGAGGCUUAACCUCGAGACGUCGGUGGAAACUGCCUGGCUAGAGUCCGGAAGAGGAGAGUGGAAUUCCUGGUGUAGCGGUGAAAUGCGCAGAUAUCAGGAAGAACACCCGUGGCGAAGGCGGCUCUCUGGGACGGUACUGACGCUGAGACGCGAAAGCGUGGGGAGCGAACAGG